GACGUAGGGCGCGAGCGUUGUCCGGAUUUAUUGGGCGUAAAGAGCUCGUAGGCGGCUUGUUGCGUCAGCUGUGAAAACCCGCAGCUCAACUGUGGGCUUGCAGCUGAUACGGGUAGGCUUGAGUUCGGUGAGGGGAGACUGGAAUUCCUGGUGUAGCGGUGAAAUGCGCAGAUAUCAGGAGGAACACCGGUGGCGAAGGCGGGUCUCUGGGCCGAUACUGACGCUGAGGAGCGAAAGCGUGGGGAGCGAACAGG
rnacentral:rRNA from 1 species